UUCAGAUCUGUCAUUUAAGGUUCUGUUCCUCAGUAGGGUGCUGCCUAUGUAGACAGCGAAGGGCUCAGUAGGUUUUGGAACAGAGCUGAAGACAAACAUUUAUAUAAAACAUAAUUCAUCUGCAUACAAGAGUAUUGAUGAUGCUGUGUGAUUACCCAUGAGCCCUCACUUUUCUGUUUUACUGAGAUUAUUCAUGUUCGGCUCACAGUGUGUGAUGAAUCACAAGAAUCAGGAAUGAAUCAGGAGUCAAUCUUGUGAAUCAGGAGUGAGUCACGUUAAUCAGUAGUGAAUCAGGAGUGAGUCACGUGAAUCAGAACUGAGUCAGGUGAAUCAGGAGUGAGUCACAUGAAUCAGGAGUGAGUCAGGAGUGAAUCAAGUUAAUCAGGAGUGAAUCGGGAGUGAAUCAGGUGAAUCAGGAUUGAGACACAUGAAUCAGGAGUGAAUCAGGAGUGAGUCAGGUUAAUCAGGAGUGAAUCAGGAGUAAGUUAAGUUAAUCAGGAGUGAGUCAACUAAAUCAGUAGUGAGUCACACCAAUCAGGAGUGAGUCAUGUUACUCUGGAGUUAAUCAGGAGUGAGUCACGUGAAUCAGGAGUGAAUAAGGAGUGAGUCACGUGAAUCAGGAUUGAGACACAUGAAUCAGGAGUGAGUCAAGUUAAUCAGGAGUGAAUCGGGAGUGAUUCACGUAAAACAGGAGUGAGUCAAGUUAAUCAGGAGUGAAUCUGGAGUGAGUCAUACGUAUCAGGAGUGAAUCAGGAGUGAGUCACACAAAUCAGGAUUGAUUCAGGAGUUAGUCAUACGAAUCAGGAGUGAAUCGCGAGUGAGUCACGUUAAUCAGGAGUGAAUCAAGAGUGAAUCAGGAUUUAAUUUCAUGAAUCAGGAGUGAAUCACGUGAAUCAGGAGUGAGUCAAGUUAAUCAGGAGUGAAUCAGGAGUGAGUCACUUUAAUCAGGAGUGAGUCACACAAAUCAGGAGUGAAUCGCGAGUGAGUCAUGCGAAUCAGGAGUGAAUCAAGAGUGAAUCAGGAUUUAAUUUCAUGAAUCAGGAGUGAAUCCUGUGAGCCGCACAUGAAGCAUACUGUACUAAUGCUUUAUUACUGGAGGAAGUGGAGGUGUUUGUGUUUGUUUCACUCGAUCUGUCUUCACACAUACAGCGGACAUCUGAUUAACAAUACAGUUCAGAAGCAAUAAAUCAUGUGUAAACAAAUGAAAAAUAACUGGUGUUGUGUCUGUGAGGAGCAGGUGUUGGUUUAUUGCUCAUAUCAUUAACAUAAUGAGCGAUUUCCUCUAACCUUCUUACCCAUAAUUCUGCAGGACUGUCCCCUGUAUACAUUAUAUCAGUGACAGUGUGUAUUUAUGACAUCAUGAAAGUGAGGAAUAAUUCUAAUGUUUUCUGUUACAUCAUUCUGUAAAAGAAGAUUAAACAUUGUUAGAUUAAAUGCUGUUAUAUGUGUAUUUAAAGAAAAUUGUAUGUGGACAUGUAUAUUAAAUAUUUGUAAAAUU